rnacentral:rRNA from 1 species
UACGGAAGGCAGCAGUGGGGGAAUAUUGCACAAUGGGCGCAAGCCUGAUGCAGCCAUGCCGCGUGUAUGAAGAAGGCCUUCGGGUUGUAAAGUACUUUCAGUCGUGAGGAAGGUGUUAAGGUUAAUAACCUUAGCAAUUGACGUUAGCGACAGAAGAAGCACCGGCUAACUCCGUGCCAGCAGCCGCGGUAAUACGGAGGGUGCGAGCGUUAAUCGGAAUUACUGGGCGUAAAGGGCACGCAGGCGGUUAAUUAAGUUGGAUGUGAAAUCCCCGGGCUUAACCUGGGAAUGGCAUUCAAGACUGGUUAGCUAGAGUCUUGUAGAGGGGGUAGAAUUCCAUGUGUAGCGGUGAAAUGCGUAGAGAUGUGGAGGAAUACCGGUGGCGAAGGCGGCCCCUGGACAAAGACUGACGCUCAUGUGCGAAAGCGUGGGGAGCAAAC